UUUUUUGUAUGUGCUACUCCGACAGCAGUUCGACCCAAAGAAGAGAGGGGGUAAGGAGAGAGGCCAGAGGUCGGUUUCUUCGGAAGGGCUAGACUUGCGGCCGGUGGUGGACCUCGCGCUCCCUCGAGGCCGGCGGAGGGGUGUGGCAGGAGGAACGGCAUCGACGGGGCGACGUCCGCCGGCGCAGUAGGGCGGCGUGGCCGGCCAGAGCUGCGUCGGCCACGGGAGGAGGCGAAGCCCCCGGGAGGGGCUGCUGCCUCUCUAUGAACACGUCGGCGCUUGCCGACUUCCCCCGAGCGCCACCUCGCCCUCUUCUGCGGCCGGCGGGGCGACGCUGCCUUGUCGUGAUGUUGUGGUCGGUAUGGAUGAACCGUUAGUUCACUGUACCUCCGGCUUUUGUCGCUCCACCGACGAGACCAGCUCUUCUAGUGGCCGGAGGUGCGGCGGUAGAGGUUCGAGCGCAGAGAUUCGGGCAGGGGGCUUCAGCUGCGCGAGAAGUGCCUCGACCAGCGCCGCACGCAGGGCAGCUCGGGCCACCUGCACUGGUUCGAGCCGGGCCUCCGCGUCCUCUACGCCGUCCUGGAGUAGGCGGAGACGAGCCGGCGGCUCCCCGACGAGCUCCGCGUGAUGAGGUUGUACGAGUGGCGGAACCUGUUGGGCGAGCUGGUGGAGCCGGCGAAGGGAAUGAAGCUGUUGAUGUAGUUGGACUCGUUCGAGCUCGUGCUAGAAGAACGGCCAGUGCACCGCCGGGGCCGGGCGCACCGCAAGUAGCCCAGCCCCGGCGACGGCAAGUCGAGGGAGAAGGAGCGCUACAUGGUGGACGGCCUGUGGGCCAAGCUGUUGAUGCUGGCCACGUCGCACCGGUUACCGGCACGCUACUUCGACCAGCCGCGCCGCCUGCUCCCGCACGCACGCGCGUACCGCAAGGUGUGCCGGCUUCAGCGCCUGGAGUGCCGACUCGAGCCGCGCAUACUACACCAGAAGGACCGCCGCGAGCACCCUUACUGCAGGCUCCUCUUCCGGUUGUGGUAGCGCGUGAACCCCUUCGUGUACCGUCUACCGCGCCACGAGCAGCGCGCUUCGCGGGUGCCACGCGCUCGCAAGGACAUAGGACAUCACCUCGACCUGCUAUAGCCCGCACCGCCCAAGGUUCACGACCGACACGUGGUAGGACGCCCGCUACUCCACAAGUUGAGUAAAUAACAACGCGCCUUCGUCCUCGUAUAAAGAUGGCACCCGUGAUAUCCCACGAGUACCGUCGUGCUUACAUAUACCUGAUGUUAACUCCCACACCGUCUGCCUCUCUACAGUAAGUUCAUUCUGCCCCUACAGUUGAACGACGACUCACUAACCGUAGAAUUCUUGUUAAUGUUGGUCUACCAACCGGAGCACCUUGUACUCUACAUAGUCGCUCGGUGUCCGCUAAACAGCGCCAAAACACCAGAAAAACCUUAUAAACCGCGUUUUCUUCUCGUAUUAGACUCGACUGCCUUCGUACAGGACGUCGUGGGUCUCCUACCUACCCGUGUAUAAGCGAAGGGGAGCUCGGCGCACUAUAGAGUACACCGAGACGGCGCAGCGCUCGUGCCGGCACUACUCGCAGUGGAGAGAGCAUCGUCGGCUUAAGCUCAUCCUACUCUAGGGACAACUACUAAGGAACUGACUUUAAAGAAGUAGAUCGGUAACCUGCUUCUGUUCGUUCUGCCGACACGCAAAGAGAUGUACCGACCCGAUCAGGUCCGCUUAGAGCACGGUUCGUACGGCACAGUCACGUAAAACGAAAAUGGAGUCAACGAACGUUCUGUGACUAACGACAAUUUACUUUAGCCUCUCCCUCGAGAGAAAAUAUUUUUUUUUAUUUUUUAGAGUCAACGAACACAG
rnacentral:rRNA from 1 species